CCAGACUCCUACGGGAGGCAGCAGUGAGGAAUAUUGGUCAAUGGGCGCGAGCCUGAACCAGCCAAGUCGCGUGAGGGAAGACGGUCCUAUGGAUUGUAAACCUCUUUUGUCGGGGAGCAAAAGACGCCACGCGUGGCGUUCCGAGAGUACCCGAAGAAAAAGCAUCGGCUAACUCCGUGCCAGCAGCCGCGGUAAUACGGAGGAUGCGAGCGUUAUCCGGAUUUAUUGGGUUUAAAGGGUGCGUAGGCGGAAUGCCAAGUCAGCGGUAAAAUCGCGGGGCUCAACCUCGCUCCGCCGUUGAAACUGGCGUUCUUGAGUGGGCGAGAAGUAUGCGGAAUGCGUGGUGUAGCGGUGAAAUGCAUAGAUAUCACGCAGAACUCCGAUUGCGAAGGCAGCAUACCGGCGCCCAACUGACGCUGAAGCACGAAAGCGUGGGUAUCGAACAGGAUUAGAUACCCCUGUA
rnacentral:rRNA from 1 species